rnacentral:misc_RNA from 1 species
CGGUCGGCAGGCGAUCCGCGUCGGUCGUGCGAGGGUGGUAUGGUUCCCCCAGAGGCCGGUUCUUGUGCUGCCUACCCCUUCAGGGGAAUCGGGCCACUCGAUGUAAGCCUCCAUCCGGCGCCUUCCAACGGGCGCAGGAGGACAACAGGGCACCCCCCGCGUUCCACCGAGCCUCCUCGGUCGCGUGGCCCGCGGGGACGUGCGACGCUCUCGGACCCAGCGAACGCCGUGGGCGAGGACUCACGUCCCAGUCCCGAAAAGAAGCUCCGAUAUAAUGCAAGACGGCCGCUCCCGCCCCCCCGGGGGCGAGGCGCGGCGUCGCAGAGGAAUGCUA